rnacentral:lncRNA from 1 species
GCUUAAAAAUUAAAAUCACCUCCCCGAACUGUACUUUAAAGGGUGGAGGAAUCAGAAGCCAGAUGUCAAAGCAUUUUCGCGUGAGGAGUGAUGUGAACAAAGAUGGUCCUCAGAGUCUCUCAGUGUAGGAGGGGAGAGAUGCAGAGAAGAUGUGAGAGACUAGAGCCCUGAGGAAGAGAAUUCGGAAGGUUACUUCAUGGAGUUGCUGUUGAUACUACUUUCUAGACACUGCCAAGAACCAAGUCACUUCAGUCUACAUGAAGAAAGCUACUGAUACCACAGAAAAUGGAACUAAGGUGUAACCUCUACAGAGGGAGGGAACCCAGGCCCAUUCAACUGCUACAUGGCUUAGUCCAGUCAACCCAAUGACAACAGAGACAUCUAAAGACUGAUGCUCUGAACAGUUGACCAGAUAAUCAGCAUUUUUAAUUAACAACUUUGGAUAUAACCAUUAUAUCAGAGCAGAAUGCCCAAUUACCUAAGGAUCACAAAGAAAAUACACAGCUAAACUCAGUCUAAGGGAUGAGUCAUAAAGUCAAUACGUUUCUCACAUAUGCUUCCUGGUGAGGUAGGGGUGAGGUACUCAAAUUAAAGGUUGCAAAGAGAAUUUAAGAUCAUGUCUUGGCAUGUGAUUAUCAAGACAGAAUAGGCAAUGAGUUGUAAUUCAUCUUCCAAAUAAGAGGAGGAAGGAUCUAAACCAAUAAAGAUGGAGAUAUUCUAAGAC